CGGGGGGGCAAGCGUUGUUCGGAAUUACUGGGCGUAAAGGGCGCGUAGGCGGUUGGAUAAGUCAGCUGUGAAAACCACGGGCUUAACUCGUGGCCUGCAGUUGAGACUGUCUGGCUUGAGUGUGGGAGAGGAGAGUGGAAUUCCUGGUGUAGCGGUGAAAUGCGUAGAUAUCAGGAGGAACACCGGUGGCGAAGGCGGCUCUCUGGACCACAACUGACGCUGAGGCGCGAAAGCUAGGGGAGCAAACAGGAUUAGAUACCCUGGUAGUCCUAGCUGUAAACGAUGGAUACUUGCUGUGGGGGGUGUUAAAUCCCCUGUGGCGGAGCUAACGCAUUAAGUAUCCCGCCUGGGGAGUACGGUCGCAAGGCUG
rnacentral:rRNA from 1 species